UUGGAGGGCAAGUCUGGUGCCAGCAGCCGCGGUAGUUCCAGCUCCAAUAGCGUAUAUUAAAGUUGUUGCAGUUAAAAGGCUCGUAGUUGAAUUUCGGGAUUGGCGCAUCGGUCGUGCCUUACGGGGUAUGAACUGGUGCAGUCAAUUUCUCACCUUCUGGAGAACCGCGAUGUCCUUAAUUGGGUGCCGCGGGGAACCAGGACCUUUACUUUGAAAAAAUUAGAGUGUUUAAAGCAGGCAUUUUUGCUUGAAUACAUUAGCAUGGAAUAAUAAAAUAGGACGGCAUGGUUCUAUUUUGUUGGUUUCUAGGACCACCGUAAUGAUUAAUAGGGAUAGUUUGGGGCAUUAGUAUUCAAUUGUCAGAGGUGAAAUUCUUGGAUUUAUUGAAGACUAACUACUGCGAAAGCAUUUGCCAAGGAUGUUUUCAUUAAUCAAGAACGAAAGUUAGGGGAUCGAAGACGAUCAGAUACCGUCGUAGUCUUAACCAUAAACUAUGCCGACUAGGAAUCAGACGAUGUUAAUAUUUUAAUGACUCGUUUGGCACCUUACGGGAAACCAAAGUGUUUGGGUUC
rnacentral:rRNA from 1 species